UACGUAGGAUGCAAGCGUUGCUCGGAAUUAUUGGGCGUAAAGGGCGCGUAGGUGGCCCUAUAAGUCAGAUGUGAAAGCCCUCGGCUUAACUGAGGAACUGCAUUUGAAACUGUGGGGCUUGAGUACGGUAGAGGGGGGUGGAAUUCCUGGUGUAGCGGUGAAAUGCGUAGAUAUCAGGAAGAACAUCUGUGGCGAAGGCGACCCCCUGGACCGAUACUGACACUGAGGCGCGAAAGCGUGGGGAGCAAACAGG
rnacentral:rRNA from 1 species